UUCUUUUUCUCAAACUAUCAGACCAAGAAACUACAUAUAUCAGCACUUGCUCUGUUUUACCAACUUUCAGACUUUCACAGUUUUAAUGAAUCCAUGUGCCUGAAGGAGGGCCUGCAUGGGAACACACCGGGGACAACCUGGUGACCUGUGAGUGGAAUCAGAACACACCCAAGCGAAUUCCAGCCUCAUCAUAUUACACCAAGCUUUACGCUGACCUGCUGUUCUGCAGCUGUGAAUGUCACUUCACAGAUGUGCCACCACUCUACUUGAGCAGCUGGAGUCACCUGGUAAUGGCAGUAUGGAUAAUUUUGCCUCAGUUAUCCCCCUGAAAUAAUACUGGACUCGGGUCUGGAGCAUGGUCAUGGUAAGACCUCAACAUGUAUUUCUUUAAGUGAUGCAAUUACAUUUCCAGAGCUGUGUGGUACAUAUA
rnacentral:lncRNA from 1 species